rnacentral:rRNA from 1 species
UACCUGCAGCUCAAGUGGUGACCGCUAUUAUUGGGCCUAAAACGUUCGUAGCCGGUUUGGUAAAUGCCUGGGUAAAUCGUGUAGCUUAACUAUACGAAUUCCGGGUAGACUGCUAAACUUGAGACCGGGAGAAGCUAGAGGUACUCCUGGGGUAGAGGUGAAAUUCUGUAAUCCUGGGGGACCACCAGUGGCGAAGGCGUCUAGCUAGAACGGGUCUGACGGUGAGGAACGAAGCCCUGGGGCGCAAACCGGAUUAGAUACCCGGGUAGUCCAGGGUGUAAACGCUGCUUGCUUGAUGUUAGUUGGGCUCCGAGCCCAAUUAGUGUCGGAGAGAAGUUGUUAAGCAAGCCGCCUGGGAAGUACGAUCGCAAGAUUGAAACUUAAAGGAAUUGGCGGGGGAGCACAGCAACGGGUGGAGCGUGCGGUUU